ensembl:ribozyme RNase_MRP RNase MRP
AAGCAUUCUGAAGACCUGACGUCUAGGCAACGUACGGGGGGCGUAGUUCCCCAAUCACAUGACGCCUAGGGGAAAGUCCCCGGAUCUCGGGCAGAGAGUGCCGUGCGCCACACGGCGUGCAAUAAUCCCACCCUGCUGUCCGUAUCAGCCCGCCAAGAAGCUCCCAGAGCCGAGCGGAUUGGACUAGGGCGGGACCUCUCAUCAGUCUCCAUAGAAACUCAGGUAGCGCGGCAAUCUCCUCGCUAACACAACGGGGCUCAUUCUCAGAAUGCU